rnacentral:rRNA from 1 species
CCUACGGGUGGCUGCAGUGGGGAAUAUUGGACAAUGGGGGGAACCCUGAUCCAGCCAUGCCGCGUGUGUGAAGAAGGCCCUCGGGUUGUAAAGCACUUUCAGUGAGGAAGAACGCCUGGUGGUUAAUACCCAUCAGGAAAGACAUCACUCACAGAAGAAGCACCGGCUAACUCCGUGCCAGCAGCCGCGGUAAUACGGAGGGUGCGAGCGUUAAUCGGAAUUACUGGGCGUAAAGCGCGCGUAGGUGGCUUGAUAAGCCGGUUGUGAAAGCCCCGGGCUCAACCUGGGAACGGCAUCCGGAACUGUCAAGCUAGAGUGCAGGAGAGGAAGGUAGAAUUCCCGGUGUAGCGGUGAAAUGCGUAUAGAUCGGGAGGAAUACCAGUGGCGAAGGCGGCCUUCUGGACUGACACUGACACUGAGGUGCGAAAGCGUGGGUAGCAAACAGGAUUAGAUACCCCAGUAGUC